rnacentral:rRNA from 1 species
GUUGACCUCGGAUCGGUU